rnacentral:misc_RNA from 1 species
UCGCGGCUUAUCACCGGCAGUCCCCUUAGAGUGCCCAACUAAAUGAUGGCAACUAAGGACAAGGGUUGCGCUCGUUGCGGGACUUAACCCAACACCUCACGACACGAGCUGACGACAGCCAUGCAGCAUCUGUGCAUGCUCUCUUGCGAGUCCCUCAGGUUUCCCUUCGGUACCACAUGCAUGUCAAGCCGAGGUAAGGUUCUGCGCGUUGCAUCGAAUUAAACCACACGCUCCGCUGCUUGUGCGGGCCCCCGUCAAUUCCUUUGAGUUUUAGCCUUGCGGCCGUACUCCCCAGGCGGAGUGCUUAACGCGUUAGCUGCGGCGCUGCAGGGGUCAAUACCCGCGACACCUAGCACUCAUCGUUUACAGCGUGGACUAC